rnacentral:lncRNA from 1 species
UCAAUGGUCUCAUAAAGGGCUUAGUAAUGAUUUUAUCUUUUAUGGUAUUGGCUCAUUCUGUUUAGAUAGUUAAUAUUUUGUUUCAUAAAUGGCAAUCUUUCUUAUAUCACUGUCUCAUUCUCUAUUUGCACUAUAAACCAUUUAAUCAUUUACAGGCCUCUAACCAGAUCACAGUGUGUGUGUGUGUGUUAUGCUGUGCUGAAAUAUUGCUGUGACAUAUGGUGCAUUUAGGUCCACAAUCUGGUAUUAUAUGAGUUGACAACUGUACAAGACAUCCUAUCGAAGACAGUUCUGAGUGAGCAACAGCCCGAGACACCAUGUUAAUGCUGCCCUGUUAUCUACUGAGUUUCUACAUACAAGUCAAGUAUCCAUCAAAGAUUGGCCAUGGUGUUUACAGAACUGAAAGCCAAGCUGUGAUUUUUGAAAAUUUAUUAUAAAGUUCUAAAUGGAAAUACAAUUUGAAAAGCACA